UGAGACUCAGAAACUUUAAUAAUUUACCUGAAGGUCAUACCCCAGCAAGUGGUAUUUCUUGGAUUAAGAUGAAGGCAAAAUUUUAAAACAUGAUGUGUCCAAAAAGCUAGUUGAAAACUGGGAAGUCGCUGAGAAGUUAGUGGAAUUUAAAGAUUAAGGGCACUGGAUACAGUCAGAAGCACAGGAGGGUGAGAGAAUUCGCCAGAGCCAGAGCAGGGAGCAGAAGAGUCAGGCUGACGAAACACACUGCUGAGGGG